rnacentral:tRNA from 1 species
UGGGGGGUAGCUCAGUGGCAGAGCACUUGCCUAGCUUAAGCAAGGACCUGGGUUCCAUCCCCAGCACAGCAA